rnacentral:snoRNA from 10 species
UUGCACAGUGAACACCCAAGUGUGCUUUAUAGUUCCCUUGGCUUUGACCCUGUGCUAGAGCAUUGCCUGCUCUUCUCCUCUGCAUUGAAAGGAAUAUUUAUCCCUUUAAAUGUAUUCAGAAAGCCAGCACAUUA